UACGGGGGGGGCAAGCGUUGUUCGGAAUUAUUGGGCGUAAAGGGCGCGCAGGCGGCGCAUUUUGUCAGGCGUGAAAGCCCCGGGCUUAACCUGGGAACUGCGUUUGAUACGGAUGGGCUAGAGUUCGGGAGAGGAGAGUGGAAUUCCCAGUGUAGAGGUGAAAUUCGUAGAUAUUGGGAAGAACACCGGUGGCGAAGGCGGCUCUCUGGACCGAGACUGACGCUGAUGCACGAAAGCGUGGGUAGCAAACAGG
rnacentral:rRNA from 1 species